AUUAGUGAAUUCAUAAUUCUAACGGGAUAGCAAAGUAGAUCAUUCUUGAAACCUGUAAUCUCUCCUGUAGACUGAGUUUUAUUGUAAGAAAUAUUUUAGUUUGGUACAGUUUAUAAUUUUUAUAAUACAGUAAAUGAGUAGGGCACAGUGGUGUAUGCAUUUAAUCCCAGCACCCAGGAGACAGAGACAGGCAGAACUCAUGAGUUGAAAGCCAGCCUUGUCUACAUUGGGAGUUUCAAGAAAGCUAGGAUUACAUAGAGAUUCCCUGUUUCAAAAAAAAAAAGAAAAAAAAAAAAAAAAGAAAAAGGAAGAAAGAAAGGAGAGGGAGAGAAAAGAAAAACAACAAGAGCAAACAAACAACAAAAAUAAUAUAGUAAAUGAAAGGAAAAUGUCAGCUUUAAUCAUUGCUGGAAUGAUUAAUUUGUUUGAGGCUAAAGCAAAUUUAUCAAUUAGUGAAAAAGAAAUAGCUGGCUGUCAUUUUCACAGAAAGUUAGUAGACAGUCUAUAAUUAAAGUCCUAGCUCAACUUCCUUGAGGCAAACAAUUUUUCUUUUAUAACCAGGAAACUACACUUAGGUUAACAGUACAACUCCCUUAAAUUGUUCUUUGACCUGAAUAUAAGCUGUACAAGAAAAGCAUUGAGGAAGUAUCACACCAUAAAGUAAAUAUCAAGCCUAGCACACCCAGGUACGAAUGCUUUGUGUCCUUCCUGCUUGCAGCAUGAAUCCUGCUGAUUUGAAAUCCUGUAGUACUUUCUAACCACUCAGAACAGGAAGCAGAUCCUGUCUUCUGUUCCAGCUGUAACUGGACAAGGACUUGUUUAUUCUCCUAAUUACACAAAAGUAUCUCAAUCUCCCGAGAAGAGCUGAAAGUGUUUAACAGCACGUUAAACACUUUUUAGCAGUGUUCAGGAGUGUUUAUAUUUAAUCACACUAAUGUCUAGCAUAUGAGGCUAGGAAGUGCUUUACAGGCACAAACUAUCUCCACCCUGUUCUGUAAUGCAUGGGCUCUGGCACUUUGGGUCUCUAACUCAGAUCACAAGGAGAGUAGCAAAGUUGCUUCAGCUUUUUCCCCUGCCUUUUCCUCUUUCAGUGUUAAAGGAUCAGAACACUUCAUGUGCAGGUUAGCACCUUUUCAGAGAUGAGUUUGGAGCAUUAUUUUGAUCGUGUUUCUUUUUUUUUUUUACUACUAUUUUUGUGGUCCUAGAGAUUGAACUUAGAGUUCAUACAUGUUAGACAAGCUCUCUACUACUCCCCACUGUAUUCCUUCAAUGCUUCUGUUCUUUUUAUCAGGGUUUGUUUGUUUGUUUGUUUGAGACAGGGUUUCUCUGGAUACCUCUGGCUGUCCAGGCCUCGAACUCAGAGAUCCACCUGUCUCUGCUUCCUGAGUGCUGGGAUUAAAAACUGUGUGCCACCACCACUGGCCACUCACUUUCUUAUUAGUAGAAUAUUUUUACAUUUUAUGCACCACAUAUUGCCUUGCCACUUCAUACUGUUUUAGUCAGUGACAUUUUCCUUCUGUAUAUAAUGAACAGUUAACAGCAUAUCUUGUAUAGAAGUCAAGCAGUCUAUCCUCUAAGCAAGUCUCAAAUUUUCCAACUUGGGAUACCAUUUAAAAUGUAUAUCACG
rnacentral:lncRNA from 1 species